rnacentral:rRNA from 1 species
AUUGAACGCUGGCGGCAGGCUUAACACAUGCAAGUCGAGCGGAGAUGAGGUGCUUGCACCUUAUCUUAGCGGCGGACGGGUGAGUAAUGCUUAGGAAUCUGCCUAUUAGUGGGGGACAACAUUCCGAAAGGAAUGCUAAUACCGCAUACGCCCUACGGGGGAAAGCAGGGGAUCUUCGGACCUUGCGCUAAUAGAUGAGCCUAAGUCGGAUUAGCUAGUUGGUGGGGUAAAGGCCUACCAAGGCGACGAUCUGUGGCGGGUCUGAGAGGAUGAUCCGCCACACUGGGACUGAGACACGGCCCAGACUCCUACGGGAGGCAGCAGUGGGGAAUAUUGGACAAUGGGCGGAAGCCUGAUCCAGCCAUGCCGCGUGUGUGAAGAAGGCCUUUUGGUUGUAAAGCACUUUAAGCGAGGAGGAGGCUACCUGGAUUAAUACUCUAGGAUAGUGGACGUUACUCGCAGAAUAAGCACCGGCUAACUCUGUGCCAGCCGCCGCGGUAAGAC